UGCGCCUGCAAAGGAGGCAGCCUUGUCCCUAUUUCAUGUUUUGCAGGCUGGCAAGACAAGGUAUCCUCUGGUGAUCCGCAAUUUUGCGGAUUCAAAAUCCUCC
rnacentral:sRNA from 1 species